rnacentral:sRNA from 3 species
UAUUCUUCCUAUUCGGGAAGGAUGAGAAGCUUCGACCAAGGUUCGAUUCGAGCGUUAGCGAGAAAGCGUUGCCGUAGGCAACGACCCGAAGGGCGAAGCGCGCAGCGCUGAGUAAUCCUUCCCCCACCACCA